GGGUGAUUUUCCCCGUAAUUAACUCAAACAAACCAGCCGCGGGGCGGCCGCUUAGCCCGCGCUGCCGCCGGUCUGUGUGCCUGAACCGAGCCCGCCGCCUAAGCCGGCAGCCAUAUCCUUGAAACUUAUCCUCGCAUCUCAAAAGACGCUAUUCCUCACGCUGUUGAAGACGCAUCUGCUUGAUCCGCAGUUUCCAUAACAAAGUUGUCAAUAAACACUCGACAUUUGGAAUCCAAGUGA